CUAGAUUUUUUUCUUUGCAUACUUAUCAUCCUUGUAAAAUGUGUUUAUUCUUGUCUAGAGGCCAUCUGACUCCAAGUGGCCAUGCAACAGGAAGCCUCAGGUGAUGACUUCUUUUUACCAAGGACCCUUAGAUAGGCCUCUGAGAAAGAUCUGACUGCGUUUUCCCCAAAACAAUGCCUUCUGUCAGCAUGAAACAGUUAAGUGUGGUCAUCAUCUCUAAUGGCAUCAAUCCUAAUGGCAGUUACGUGUACCUCUUCAAAGGAAGGAUUGAUGGGAGCAGCUACCCAUCUUCAGUGGCUGCUGCAAAGACACCAGCUGCAUUGGGGAAGCACUGCUGAGACUACCUGCUCCAUGGAGCCGACAAGAGCUGGGAACAGGACAAGAACUCGAGACCUGCCAAAGAGGGGGCUGAAAGAGAAAGCUGUAACACAAACAGGGCUGAAACACACACACCACUCUCCAAACUGCAGGUAACAAGAAGGAGAGAAGCUAGUUGCAGCCGUCUGGGGAGCCCAGUCCUCGGGCUUCUUGAGCCAGGGCUGCAACACUGUCCUUGAGUCUCCACAGCUCCUAAUAUCACUAAGCUUUCAGGCGUCACCACAUUCCCUGGUGCCCGCAAUGGAAGCUGCUUAUGGUAUGCCUGGUCCAGCUGCACAGAGCCAGCACCUAUUCAGCUGUGGGAGCUCCACCCUGCUGCAGCCAGCACAUCUGGCUGUGGACAAUGGGUGGAUCCCCGUGCUUGCUCUAUGCUUGGCUUGCCCUUGGAAAGCAUGAAAUCCAGGCCGGUAGUGUGAACUGAGUGCGCCCUGCGGGGGCUGAGUGGGUGGAUUGAGCCCAGCAGGCCCAAGCAAUACUCAGACAGAAGGUACAGAAGUUUUGGCUGGCAGGGCAACAUCACAAGAAUCCUGCGUCAUAACUACAUGAAAAGGUGGGCAGGGAUUUUUUUUUUUUUGAGACGGAGUUUCGCUCUUGUUACCCAGGCUGGAGUGCAAUGGCGCAAUCUCGGCUCACCGCAACCUCCGCCCCCUGGGUUCAGGCAAUUCUCCUGCCUCAGCCUCCUGAGUAGCUGGGAUUACAGGCACGCGCCACCGUGCCCAGCUAAUUUUUUGUAAUUUUAAUAGUAUCUUUGACCUCAAAGUUAUAACCUCUGUAUAUCUUUCAAAUUACAAAUGGGAACCAUCCAACAGUGUCUUAUUAAGGGAAAUAAUCAGUAAGUUUGAUUAAGAAAAAGGUUGAAUACAAGGAAGAGUGAGUGCUAUGCCUUCAUUUAUAACACACUGUUGAGUAAAAGUAGAAUCAGGACUAGGAAAGUCAUCCUACCACUGUCCAGAGACAUAGGAAGUAGGAGUAAAUAUACUUGAGGCAGUGGGGCAGGUAGGUUGUGUUAUUCCGGUGUGUAGGAUUUACCUAGAAUUGACUCUUAACAGGUCUCAGAUGAUGCCAUGUGUUAUUUGGAAGUAAGUAGGGCCUUAGU
rnacentral:lncRNA from 13 species